UACAGAGGAGCCAAGCGUUGUCCGGAUUGACUGGGCGUAAAGCGCACGCAGGCGGCACCGCGCGUGGGGUGUGAAAUCUGGCCGCUUAACGGCCAGGCGCCAUCCCAUACGGCGGAGCUGGAGUGAUGCAGAGGUCGGUGGAAUUGCCGGUGUAGUGGUGAAAUGCGUAGAUAUCGGGAGGAACACCAGUGGCGAAGGCGACUUCCUGGCCUGUUCUUGACGCUGAGGCGCGAAAGCUAGGGUAGCAAACGGG
rnacentral:rRNA from 1 species